UGACUGCGUACCUUUUGUAUAAUGGGUCAGCGACUUAUAUUCUGUAGCAAGGUUAACCGAAUAGGGGAGCCGAAGGGAAACCGAGUCUUAACUGGGCGUUAAGUUGCAGGGUAUAGACCCGAAACCCGGUGAUCUAGCCAUGGGCAGGUUGAAGGUUGGGUAACACUAACUGGAGGACCGAACCGACUAAUGUUGAAAAAUUAGCGGAUGACUUGUGGCUGGGGGUGAAAGGCCAAUCAAACCGGGAGAUAGCUGGUUCUCCCCGAAAGCUAUUUAGGUAGCGCCUCGUGAAUUCAUCUCCGGGGGUAGAGCACUGUUUCGGCAAGGGGGUCAUCCCGACUUACCAACCCGAUGCAAACUGCGAAUACCGGAGAAUGUUAUCACGGGAGACACACGGCGGGUGCUAACGUCCGUCGUGAAGAGGGAAACAACCCAGACCGCCAGCUAAGGUCCCAAAGUCAUGGUUAAGUGGGAAACGAUGUGGGAAGGCCCAGACAGCCAGGAUGUUGGCUUAGAAGCAGCCAUCAUUUAAAGAAAGCGUAAUAGCUCACUGGUCGAGUCGGCCUGCGCGGAAGAUGUAACGGGGCUAAACCAUGCACCGAAGCUGCGGCAGCGACACUGUGUGUUGUUGGGUAGGGGAGCGUUCUGUAAGCCUGCGAAGGUGUGCUGUGAGGCAUGCUGGAGGUAUCAGAAGUGCGAAUGCUGACAUAAGUAACGAUAAAGCGGGUGAAAAGCCCGCUCGCCGGAAGACCAAGGGUUCCUGUCCAACGUUAAUCGGGGCAGGGUGAGUCGACCCCUAAGGCGAGGCCGAAAGGCGUAGUCGAUGGGAAACAGGUUAAUAUUCCUGUACUUGGUGUUACUGCGAAGGGGGGACGGAGAAGGCUAUGUUGGCCGGGCGACGGUUGUCCCGGUUUAAGCGUGUAGGCUGGUUUUCCAGGCAAAUCCGGAAAAUCAAGGCUGAGGCGUGAUGACGAGGCACUACGGUGCUGAAGCAACAAAUGCCCUGCUUCCAGGAAAAGCCUCUAAGCAUCAGGUAACAUCAAAUCGUACCCCAAACCGACACAGGUGGUCAGGUAGAGAAUACCAAGGCGCUUGAGAGAACUCGGGUGAAGGAACUAGGCAAAAUGGUGCCGUAACUUCGGGAGAAGGCACGCUGAUAUGUAGGUGAAGUCCCUCGCGGAUGGAGCUGAAAUCAGUCGAAGAUACCAGCUGGCUGCAACUGUUUAUUAAAAACACAGCACUGUGCAAACACGAAAGUGGACGUAUACGGUGUGACGCCUGCCCGGUGCCGGAAGGUUAAUUGAUGGGGUCAGCGCAAGCGAAGCUCUUGAUCGAAGCCCCGGUAAACGGCGGCCGUAACUAUAACGGUCCUAAGGUAGCGAAAUUCCUUGUCGGGUAAGUUCCGACCUGCACGAAUGGCGUAAUGAUGGCCAGGCUGUCUCCACCCGAGACUCAGUGAAAUUGAACUCGCUGUGAAGAUGCAGUGUACCCGCGGCAAGACGGAAAGACCCCGUGAACCUUUACUAUAGCUUGACACUGAACAUUGAGCCUUGAUGUGUAGGAUAGGUGGGAGGCUUUGAAGUGUGGACGCCAGUCUGCAUGGAGCCGGCCUUGAAAUACCACCCUUUAAUGUUUGAUGUUCUAACGUUGACCCGUGAUCCGGGUUGCGGACAGUGUCUGGUGGGUAGUUUGACUGGGGCGGUCUCCUCCUAAAGAGUAACGGAGGAGCACGAAGGUUGGCUAAUCCUGGUCGGACAUCAGGAGGUUAGUGCAAUGGCAUAAGCCAGCUUGACUGCGAGCGUGACGGCGCGAGCAGGUGCGAAAGCAGGUCAUAGUGAUCCGGUGGUUCUGAAUGGAAGGGCCAUCGCUCAACGGAUAAAAGGUACUCCGGGGAUAACAGGCUGAUACCGCCCAAGAGUUCAUAUCGACGGCGGUGUUUGGCACCUCGAUGUCGGCUCAUCACAUCCUGGGGCUGAAGUAGGUCCCAAGGGUAUGGCUGUUCGCCAUUUAAAGUGGUACGCGAGCUGGGUUUAGAACGUCGUGAGACAGUUCGGUCCCUAUCUGCCGUGGGCGCUGGAGAACUGAGGGGGGCUGCUCCUAGUACGAGAGGACCGGAGUGGACGCAUCACUGGUGUUCGGGUUGUCAUGCCAAUGGCACUGCCCGGUAGCUAAAUGCGGAAGAGAUAAGUGCUGAAAGCAUCUAAGCACGAAACUUGCCCCGAGAUGAGUUCUCCCUGACUCCUUGAGAGUCCUGAAGGAACGUUGAAGACGACGACGUUGAUAGGCCGGGUGUGUAAGCGCAGCGAUGCGUUGAGCUAACCGGUACUAAUGAACCGUGAGGCUUAACCUU
rnacentral:rRNA from 1 species